rnacentral:lncRNA from 1 species
GAGGAAAUGAUAACAGCCGGAGUUGGACGAAGCUCUGGGGCGGAGCGGCACCCCCGGCAAUUGGGGCCGAACGACGCGCGGUGCUGCGGCUCCGUUUCUUUCCCAUCCCGUUCCUUUCGGCCCCGCAGCCCCCGCUCCUCCUUCCCGCAGGAAUCCGACGCGUUCCUGAAAGGAGGAAGGAAGGGGUCCCCGCCGCCCCCUCCCCAAAGCUUCAAAGAGUUUUCCCCUUCCUCCCUUCUCUUCUCGACCCCCCCGGACAGAAGGGGCUCGGAAGGCCCUCGUCAGCAUCAUCCCCGUGCCCGCAGCCCCGCGUUCGGACCCCAUUCACCCCCCCGGUUCCAUUGCAGCAGCAGCAGCAGCCGCGGCCCAGCGCCGCCGGAGCGCCCAGAGGGAUGCGGACCCACAGACACAGCGGUGAGCGGGGGGUCCCGACUCCCAGCCCCCCCCCGGCGCCUCCCCUGCACCCCUUGCAGGACCCGCAGCCCCUCUUCCCCCUGUGGUUAUCCCACCACCCACGGGUGGGUGCUGUGUGCUCACCCCUAAACCUUUCCUCCCCCCGCACCCCUCGCAGGACCCUGUGACUGACGCAGCCCCCCCGGCGCACAGCUGAAUGGAAAGGGUGCAGAAGGUAAACGGGGGGGUGGGGGGUUUGGUUAUCAUCAUAUGGGCGCCUAUGGGACACCUCCUUGCGCGGCUGUGGGGCAGCCUUCCUCCUCCUCGUCCUCAUCCUCCUCCUCCUCCCAGCCUGGCAGCCCCAUCUAGUGGCCCUCCCACGUCCUCUCCGUGCGUCCCCGACCCCUGGAUUUCAAUGCUGCACUCCCAGCCCACCCCAAAUCUCUGCACCCCAUCAGGUUUCCCCGCGUCCUCCAAACAGAACUUUGCCCUAAAUGUCCGCUGUGGGGCAGCCUUCCUCCUCCUCGUCCUCAUCCUCCUCCUCCUCCCAGCCUGGCAGCCCCAUCUAGUGGCCCUCCCACGUCCUCUCCGUGCGUCCCCGACCCCUGGAUUUCAAUGCUGCACUCCCAGCCCACCCCAAAUCUCUGCACCCCAUCAGGUUUCCCCGCGUCCUCCAAACAGAACUUUGCCCUAAAUGUCCCAUUUUUUUUUUUUUCACCCUCCCCCCCCCCCCACAACCCCCCGCCCCC